CCUACAUCCAGCAGUGUAGACACUAUGUCCCUACUGUCUAAGAUCAUCAGCCCUGGUUCCUCAACACCCAGCAGUAUAAGAUCGCCACCUGCUGGAGGAGAUGAAAGCUACCCCCAGGAGCCCCCCAGUUCUGUGUCUACAUAUCGACCCUUUGGCCUGGGCGGUGGCUCUCCCUACAAGCAGUCUUCUAGUGCAGUUGAGAGGCCGUCAUCACUGAUGGACUCUUCACAGGAAAAGCUCUUCCCAGAUACUUCCUUCCAGGAAGAUGAGGACUACCGAGACUUUGAAUAUUCAGGGCCUCCACCAUCUGCCAUGAUGAACCUAGAGAAGAAACCAGCCAAAUCUAUCCUGAAGUCAAGCAAGCUUUCUGAUGCCACCGAGUACCAGCCAAUCCUGUCUAGUUACAACCACAGGGCCCAAGAGUUUGGGGGCAAGUCUGCCUUUCCUCCAUCUGUAAGGGCCCUCCUGGACUCUAGUGAGAACUGUGACCGCCUCUCAUCUCCCCCUGGGCUCUUUGGUGCCUUCAGCAUAAGAGGGAGUGAACCUGGGUCUGAGCGGUCACCAUCUCCGAGUAAAAAUGAUUCAUUUUUCACCCCUGACUCCAACCACAGUGGCUUGUCUCAGUCUACUGCUGGACAUCUCACUUUGCCACAGACGCAGUACCCAGACUCUCCUCACUCAGUCCCACAUCGGUCCGUUUUCUCUUCACAGAAUACCCUUGCCGCUCCAGCGGGUCACCCACCCACAUCAGGCGUGGAGAAAGUCCUGGCCUCUACGAUUUCCACCACAUCGACGAU
rnacentral:lncRNA from 1 species